AACAGCAGACACAAGCACAGGUCCCACUUAACAACACCGGACUCGUCGAUGCCGGAUGAGAGACCCAACACCUUCCGUCUGCAAACAUGCUAUCAGUUGUCAUGGCAACACUUCAUGUUAUUUUGGGACGACACUUUACGCACAUGCAUUAUGCCCAGUUUUCUCAGAACAUUACUCAUAUAUAUAUAUUUGUCUUAUUUCCUAUUUCGCCAUUCCUCUUUCAGGCGCCUUCCUGAUUCCGUAUUUCAUAGCCGUGUUUCUGGGUGGUAUCCCAUCAUUCUUCUUGGAGGUGUCGCUUGGUCAGUUUAUGUCCGAGGGAGGAAUCGGCGUCUGGAAAAUUGCACCUUUGUUUCAAGGUAUCGGUUACGCAAGCGCAGUCAUCGUCUUUAUCCUUAACUGCGAGUACAACAUUAUCCUCACCUGGGCCUAUUACUACCUCUUCGCAUCCUUCACCUCCGUGUUGCCAUGGUCAAACUGCGAAAACGAGUGGAAUACGGAAACGUGUCAUGUGGACCACCGGAAAAUCACGAAUAUG